rnacentral:rRNA from 1 species
UACGUAGGGUGCGAGCGUUGUCCGGAAUUAUUGGGCGUAAAGAGCUUGUAGGCGGUCUGUCGCGUCUGCUGUGAAAAUCCGGGGCUCAACCCUGGACCUGCAUUCGAUACGGGCAGACUAGAGUUCGGCAGGGGAGACUGGAAUUCCUGGUGUAGCGGUGAAAUGCGCAGAUAUCAGGAGGAACACCGGUGGCGAAGGCGGGUCUCUGG